GUUCAAUCGCAUUAUAUAAAGAAAAAUGACGAAGAUUAAAUAACUCACGGGUAUUUAGUGGUGGCUUCCUGGAGUAUUCACUCAAGUGGUACCGUUCUCCCCUAUAUGGAGUAAUUAAUCCACCUUGCAACAUAAAGCCAGCAUCUACUAGGUAGAACUUACCUGAAAACAUUACAUAAAGUUACAAAUAUUUUUUUUUGAAAC
rnacentral:lncRNA from 1 species